UGGAGAUGGAAUGUAGCUGGCAGAGGCC
rnacentral:piRNA from 1 species